UUUCAUCCUAGAGAAUAAGCUGAUUCCUGCAAUAAACGGCCAUGCGGGGGUCACUGAGGAAGUUUACAGGCCUCUGGAGACUCCAGUCUGUAUGGAGAACAGGGACUACUCCUGGCUUUGCACUCAGGAAUUGCUCCUGGAGGUUCUCAGGGGACCAUAUGGGAUGAUGCUGGGAAUCGAAUCUGGGUCGGCUGCAUGCAAGGUAAUUCUGGCUGCAAGGCAGGGUCUGUACUUUCAGUUACACAGCAUCACGUGCCCAUGUCUUGAAGGAAAACCCGAAAGAAUGAAUUUUCACCCUGCACAGAGCCGGGACUCUCACCUGGAGAUAAG